rnacentral:lncRNA from 1 species
UGGUAUGUCAUGCUUUUCUCUGCUCACUGGCAGCAAGUUAAUUCUAUUUCCAUGUAGCCUGUAUUUAUUAUUGUCUUCUUAUUUGUGCUUAAAUAUGCGCUCCCCAUCAAACUCACUGAAGGUAGGAAUCAUGUCUUAUUUCUCUUCUGUUCCCGCAGUACCCAAACCUAUGCUGUCCUCCUAAUAAAUCAAGAAUCAAGUGGAGGGUAACUCAGAACACCUCUGUAUUUGUUCUCCAGGGCUGUCAUAAGAAAGUGCCACAAAUUGAGCGGCUUAGAAAAACAGAAGCUUAAUGUGUCACAGUUCUGGAGCGUGUUUUCCAAGGCAUGCAGGAACGAGAUCAUCUGAUCCCACCACUAACACAACCAGAAAUGGGAGAGUGAACAUGCAUUCUGGACAGCGAGGACGACAUCACAGAGACGCUGCACGGCAUUUUGCUGACAAGGAGUCAGUCUGACAAGACACGUUGUCGAUCCCCUCAAGGAUCAAAUGGCAGAAGUCCUAGAUCAAAGGGCAAGAAAUGAAAUGAGCACUGGAGACAAGGGCAUAAAACAAGUGUACUGGCUGUGUGACUGGUGUCCCAAAUCACUCAAGAGUCUGAUUUCCUCCACUUGGCAGUUUGUGUCUCGGUCUAUGCUUAACAUCACUCAGAAAAUUCAGUAAAGCUGUCCAAUGUAAUGGCAACACCAGUCACUGCAGAAGGUAGAGCUAUCAUUUGGAUUACUCACAGCACAGCUCUAGACAAGCUGAAGAUUCUACAAAGG